rnacentral:rRNA from 1 species
CACGUAGGCACCAAGCGUUAUCCGGAUUUAUUGGGCGUAAAGAGCUCGUAGGCGGUUCGGUAAGUCGGGUGUGAAAACUCUGGGCUCAACCCAGAGAGGCCACCCGAUACUGCUGUGACUAGAGUGCGGUAGGGGAGCGGGGAAUUCCUGGUGUAGCGGUGAAAUGCGCAGAUAUCAGGAGGAACACCAGCGGCGAAGGCGGGUCUCUGGGCCGAUACUGACGCUGAGGAGCGAAAGCGUGGGGAGCGAACAGG